rnacentral:lncRNA from 10 species
CCAUUUCGCGUAACGGUCAGAGAGGCCUGCUGUAGCUGGAGGCCGAUAACUGCAAGUGUGCUUAUUUUUGUAGGCAGCCGAACAGGCUAUCUCGGGAUGCAGCUUGUGGGGCCGCUCCUGCUGCUGCUCGCCUGGCUGGAGGCCAGCGGAACGGGCGAGCCAUUUCAGGGAGGCCAGGCCUCAGCUCGUAAGGUGCUGGGGGAAGGGAGCUGGGGCCAGCCUUUCCUCUCCCUCGAGACCAGUGUUGUUACUGUGACACUCUGCCUGGCUCCCCACAGCCUGAUUCUGUACCCCAAUCCUCUCUGUACCCUGGGAAUAUUAAGAGAGACACGUUUUAAUCUAUUUUUAUUAGCUCAUUGCUUAUUAAUAUCACCAAAGAACCUGCUUGUUUAGGCCUGUGCUGGCUUUUCUAGCCAGAGGCAGAAUGAUUGGACUGUUUUCUUCCCUUUCCUUAAAGGGCUUAAAGCCAGGGUUUCCCAACCUUGGACAUUUUGGAUCAGAUACUUCCUUGUUGUG